CAGGUUGAAGGUUGGGUAACACUAACUGGAGGACCGAACCGACUAAUGUUGAAAAAUUAGCGGAUGACCUGUGGCUGGGGGUGAAAGGCCAAUCAAACCGGGAGAUAGCUGGUUCUCCCCGAAAGCUAUUUAGGUAGCGCCUCGUGAAUUCAUCUCCGGGGGUAGAGCACUGUUUCGGCUAGGGGGCCAUCCCGGCUUACCAACCCGAUGCAAACUGCGAAUACCGGAGAAUGUUAUCACGGGAGACACACGGCGGGUGCUAACGUCCGUCGUGAAGAGGGAAACAACCCAGACCGCCAGCUAAGGUCCCAAAGUCAUGGUUAAGUGGGAAACGAUGUGGGAAGGCCCAGACAGCCAGGAUGUUGGCUUAGAAGCAGCCAUCAUUUAAAGAAAGCGUAAUAGCUCACUGGUCGAGUCGGCCUGCGCGGAAGAUGUAACGGGGCUAAACCAUGCACCGAAGCUGCGGCAGCGACACUGUGUGUUGUUGGGUAGGGGAGCGUUCUGUAAGCCUGUGAAGGUGUGUCGUGAGGCAUGCUGGAGGUAUCAGAAGUGCGAAUGCUGACAUAAGUAACGAUAAAGCGGGUGAAAAGCCCGCUCGCCGGAAGACCAAGGGUUCCUGUCCAACGUUAAUCGGGGCAGGGUGAGUCGACCCCUAAGGCGAGGCCGAAAGGCGUAGUCGAUGGGAAACGGGUUAAUAUUCCCGUACUUGGUGUUACUGCGAAGGGGGGACGGAGAAGGCUAUGUUGGCCGGGCGACGGUUGUCCCGGUUUAAGCGUGUAGGUGUGUGUUCCAGGUAAAUCCGGUUCACUUUAACACUGAGGCGUGACGACGAGGCACUACGGUGCUGAAGCAACAAAUGCCCUGCUUCCAGGAAAAGCCUCUAAGCAUCAGGUAACAUCAAAUCGUACCCCAAACCGACACAGGUGGUCAGGUAGAGAAUACCAAGGCGCUUGAGAGAACUCGGGUGAAGGAACUAGGCAAAAUGGUGCCGUAACUUCGGGAGAAGGCACGCUGACACGUAGGUGAAGUGAUUUACUCAUGGAGCUGAAGUCAGUCGAAGAUACCAGCUGGCUGCAACUGUUUAUUAAAAACACAGCACUGUGCAAACACGAAAGUGGACGUAUACGGUGUGACGCCUGCCCGGUGCCGGAAGGUUAAUUGAUGGGGUCAGCGCAAGCGAAGCUCCUGAUCGAAGCCCCGGUAAACGGCGGCCGUAACUAUAACGGUCCUAAGGUAGCGAAAUUCCUUGUCGGGUAAGUUCCGACCUGCACGAAUGGCGUAAUGAUGGCCAGGCUGUCUCCACCCGAGACUCAGUGAAAUUGAACUCGCUGUGAAGAUGCAGUGUACCCGCGGCAAGACGGAAAGACCCCGUGAACCUUUACUAUAGCUUGACACUGAACAUUGAGCCUUGAUGUGUAGGAUAGGUGGGAGGCUUUGAAGUGUGGACGCCAGUCUGCAUGGAGCCGACCUUGAAAUACCACCCUUUAAUGUUUGAUGUUCUAACGUGGACCCGUUACCCGGGUUGCGGACAGUGUCUGGUGGGUAGUUUGACUGGGGCGGUCUCCUCCUAAAGAGUAACGGAGGAGCACGAAGGUUGGCUAAUCCUGGUCGGACAUCAGGAGGUUAGUGCAAUGGCAUAAGCCAGCUUGACUGCGAGCGUGACGGCGCGAGCAGGUGCGAAAGCAGGUCAUAGUGAUCCGGUGGUUCUGAAUGGAAGGGCCAUCGCUCAACGGAUAAAAGGUACUCCGGGGAUAACAGGCUGAUACCGCCCAAGAGUUCAUAUCGACGGCGGUGUUUGGCACCUCGAUGUCGGCUCAUCACAUCCUGGGGCUGAAGUAGGUCCCAAGGGUAUGGCUGUUCGCCAUUUAAAGUGGUACGCGAGCUGGGUUUAGAACGUCGUGAGACAGUUCGGUCCCUAUCUGCCGUGGGCGCUGGAGAACUGAGGGGGGCUGCUCCUAGUACGAGAGGACCGGAGUGGACGCAUCACUGGUGUUCGGGUUGUCAUGCCAAUGGCACUGCCCGGUAGCUAAAUGCGGAAGAGAUAAGUGCUGAAAGCAUCUAAGCACGAAACUUGCCCCGAG
rnacentral:rRNA from 1 species